UUUUAGUAGAGACGGGGGUUUCACCAUGUUAGCCAGGAUGGUCUCGAUCUCCUGACCUCGUGAUCUGCCCACCUCAGCCUCCCAAAGUGCUGGGAUUACAGACGUGAGCCACCACGCCUGGCCUAUAGCUGGAUUUAUAUCUACCAUAUUUGUUACUGUUUUCUGUUGUUGCUUUUAUACUUUGUACCUAUUUUUGUCUUCUGCUCUUUUAUCUGCCUUUUGUGGUUUUAAAUAAACAUUUCAUAUGAUUCAAUUUUCCCUCCUUUCUUAGCAUAUUAGUUAUACUUAUUUUUUUACAUUGCUUAGUGGUCAGAAUAGACAUUUAUAACUAACCCAAAUCCACUUUCAAAUAAUACUAUACUGCUUCAUCAGUAGGGUGAGUACCUUGUAAUAACAAAAUAAUACUAGUUCCUCCCUCUAAUCCCUUGUAUUAUUUCUGUCAUUUAUUUCACUUGUACAUAAGCAUGUGAAUAUAUAUAAGCAUACAUAAUCAAAUAUACUAUUGCUAUUUUUAUUUUGAACAAACUGUUAUCUGUUAGAACAAUUAAGAAUAUGAAAAGUUUUUGUUUUACCUUCACUUGUUCCUUCUCUGAUGUUCUUUCUUCCUUUAAGUAGAUCCACGUUUCUGACCUAUUAUUUUGCUUCUCUCUAAAGAAUUUCUUUUAACAUUUCUGGCAAGGCCAGUCCAAUGGCAACAAAUUCUCCUAUUUUUUGUUUGUCUGAGACAGUGUUUACUUCACCUUCAUUUUUAAAGGAUAAUUUCACAUGGUUCAGAUUUCUAAGGUAGUGGUUUUUAUAUCUCAAUACUUUAAAUAUUUUACUCCAGCCUGGGCCCUUCUCUACAAAAGAGAGACUUUGUCUCUACAAAAAUAAGAUAAAAUAAUUAGCCAGGUGUGGUGGUGUGUGCCUGUGGCUCUAGCUACUCAGAAGCUGAGGGUUUUUUUCUCAUCGCUGGCUUCUUUCAAUAUCGUUUUUUUUUUUUUGUCUUAGAUUUUUUGCAGUUUUAAAUAUGAUAUGCCUAGGUGUAGUGUUUUUGUCGUUGUUGGUUUCGUUUUUGUCAUUUAAUCUGCUUGGUGUUCACUGAACUUCUUGGACCUGUGGUUUGGUGGCCAACAUUAAUUUGGGGGAAAUUCACAGUCAUUGCUUCAAAUAUUUCUGUUCCUUUCUCUAUUUUUUCUCUUUAUGGUAUUCUCAUUAUACAUGUUAUACCUUUUAUAGUUGUCCCGC
rnacentral:lncRNA from 10 species